rnacentral:rRNA from 1 species
UGGGGAAUCUUCCGCAAUGGGCGAAAGCCUGACGGAGCAACGCCGCGUGAGCGAAGAAGGCCUUCGGGUUGUAAAGCUCUGUGAUAUUGGACGAAUGUUCUUCCUGCAAAUAGUGGGAAGAAAUGACGGUACAGUAAGAGGAAGCCCCGGCUAACUACGUGCCAGCAGCCGCGGUAAUACGUAGGGGGCAAACGUUGUCCGGAAUAACUGGGCGUAAAGGGCGAGUAGGUGGUCUGUCAAGUCAGAAGUGAAAACUGCGGGCUCAACCCGGAGAUUGCUUUUCGAAACUGGCAGACUUGAGUGCAGGAGGGGGAAGCGGAAUUCCUAGUGUAGCGGUGAAAUGCGUAGAUAUUAGGAGGAACACCAGUGGCGAAGGCGGCUUCCUGGCCUGUAACUGACGCUGGGGCGCGAAAGCGUGGGUAGCAAA